GGAACGAUCGAGCCGUACAUAAGUUCGGCUAAAUCUAUUGGAGGGCAAGUCUGGUGCCAGCAGCCGCGGUAAUUCCAGCUCCAAUAGCGUAUAUUAAAGUUGCUGCGGUUAAACCGCUCGUAGUUGGAUUGCGGAUGUCGACGACGGUCGUCCUAAGCAGGAGUCGUUCCGUCGCUCGUCACCUGUUCGAUCAAGAUUGCCCUGGAUGCUCUUCAGUGAGUGUCCUUGGCGACUUGAAAGUUUACUUUGAGAAAAUGAGAGCGCUCAAGGCAAGCCGUAGU
rnacentral:rRNA from 1 species